GCCGGUGUCGGCGACGGGACGCGACGCCGUCCGGUCCGGGCGGGGUGGCGACCGCUCGCGCGGCCCGUGCGCCGUUCCGGUCGGCGCGUCCGCCC
rnacentral:tRNA from 1 species